rnacentral:rRNA from 1 species
ACUACGGGCGGCUGCAGUGGGGAAUAUUGCACAAUGGGCGCAAGCCUGAUGCAGCCAUGCCGCGUGUGUGAAGAAGGCCUUCGGGUUGUAAAGCACUUUCAGCGGGGAGGAAGGCGUUAAGGUUAAUAACCUUGGCGAUUGACGUUACCCGCAGAAGAAGCAUCGGCUAACUCCGUGCCAGCAGCCGCGGUAAUACGGAGGGUGCAAGCGUUAAUCGGAAUUACUGGGCGUAAAGCGCACGCAGGCGGUCUGUCAAGUCGGAUGUGAAAUCCCCGGGCUCAACCUGGGAACUGCAUUCGAAACUGGCAGGCUAGAGUCUUGUAGAGGGGGGUAGAAUUCCAGGUGUAGCGGUGAAAUGCGUAGAGAUCUGGAGGAAUACCGGUGGCGAAGGCGGCCCCCUGGACAAAGACUGACGCUCAGGUGCGAAAGCGUGGGGAGCAAACAGGAUUAGAUACCCGUGUAGUC